UACGAAGGGGGCUAGCGUUGCUCGGAAUCACUGGGCGUAAAGGGUGCGUAGGCGGGUCUUUAAGUCAGGGGGGAAAUCCUGGAGCUCAACUCCAGAACUGCCUUUGAUACUGAAGAUCUUGAGUUCGGGAGAGGUGAGUGGAACUGCGAGUGUAGAGGUGAAAUUCGUAGAUAUUCGCAAGAACACCAGUGGCGAAGGCGGCUCACUGGCCCGAUACUGACGCUGAGGUGCGAAAGCGUGGGGAGCGAACAGG
rnacentral:rRNA from 1 species